rnacentral:lncRNA from 1 species
GUUAUUCCAGCCUUGCCUGGGACACUGUCUCCUUUUUGUUUGUAGAGGUACAGUUACCCACCUGCACUGAGUAGUCUGAGUAGGCAGGCAGGGGCUGGUUGUGCUGCCCUUGCGCUGGCCAGGAUCGCACAUCUCUGCCUUGAAGAUGGUUGCUCAACCUCCGUGGAGUCUGUGCCGUAAAACAGGAAUAGCCUUGGAGCAGCUGUGGCUUUUCACCUGUGUGCUUUCCUCUCCUCCUCCUCCUCCCCCCACCAGGAGUAAGUGAAGGACGGGUUGCAUGUGAAUCACCUCUGCGCCUACCUAACUUCUCCUGUCCCAGCAGCAAAAGACAGAGAAGGCCCCUGUCCUGACAGGCAGAAAGGUUAGCUAAAUCAGAGGAUAUACUGAAGAUGUUGCU